rnacentral:rRNA from 1 species
CUGGCUCAGGAUGAACGCUAGCGGCAGGCUUAACACAUGCAAGUCGAGGGGCAGCGCGGGUAGCAAUACCUGGCGGCGACCGGCGGAAGGGUGCGUAACGCGUGAGCAACCUGCCCGUAUCAGGGGGAUAAGCGAUGGAAACGCCGUCUAAUACCCCAUAACAACAGAGGCUGCAUGACCUUUGUUUGAAAGAUUCGUCGGAUACGGAUGGGCUCGCGAGACAUUAGCUAGUUGGAGUGGUAACGGCACACCAAGGCGACGAUGUCUAGGGGUUCUGAGAGGAAGGUCCCCCACAUUGGAACUGAGACACGGUCCAAACUCCUACGGGAGGCAGCAGUGAGGAAUAUUGGUCAAUGGCCGAAAGGCUGAACCAGCCAUGCCGCGUGCAGGAAUAAGGCCCCUAUGGGUCGUAAACUGCUUUUGUGGUGGAGCAAUAAGACGUACGUGUACGUCGAUGAGAGUACAUCACGAAUAAGCAUCGGCUAACUCCGUGCCAGCAGCAGC